AUUGAACGCUGGCGGCAUGCCUUACACAUGCAAGUCGAACGGCAGCACGGGGGCAACCCUGGUGGCGAGUGGCGAACGGGUGAGUAAUACAUCGGAACGUGUCCUGUAGUGGGGGAUAGCCCGGCGAAAGCCGGAUUAAUACCGCAUACGACCUAAGGGAGAAAGCGGGGGAGCUUCGGACCUCGCGCUAUAGGGGCGGCCGAUGGCAGAUUAGCUAGUUGGUGGGGUAAAGGCCUACCAAGGCGACGAUCUGUAGCUGGUCUGAGAGGACGACCAGCCACACUGGGACUGAGACACGGCCCAGACUCCUACGGGAGGCAGCAGUGGGGAAUUUUGGACAAUGGGGGCAACCCUGAUCCAGCAAUGCCGCGUGUGUGAAGAAGGCCUUCGGGUUGUAAAGCACUUUUGUCCGGAAAGAAAACUUCGCCGCUAAUAUCGGUGGAGGAUGACGGUACCGGAAGAAUAAGCACCGGCUAACUACGUGCCAGCCGCCGCGGUAAGAC
rnacentral:rRNA from 1 species